GCUCAAAUUUGAAAUCUGGCUUUCGGGCCCGAGUUGUAAUUUGUAGAGGAUGAUUUUGAUGCGGUGCCUUCCGAGUUCCCUGGAACGGGACGCCAUAGAGGGUGAGAGCCCCGUCUGGUUGGAUGCCAAAUCUCUGUAAAUCUCCUUCGACGAGUCGAGUAGUUUGGGAAUGCUGCUCUAAAUGGGAGGUAUAUGUCUUCUAAAGCUAAAUACCGGCCAGAGACCGAUAGCGCACAAGUAGAGUGAUCGAAAGAUGAAAAGCACUUUGAAAAGAGAGUUAAAAAGUACGUGAAAUUGUUGAAAGGGAAGCGUUUAUGACCAGACUUGGGCUUGGUUAAUCAUCUGGGGUUCUCUCCAGUGCACUUUUCCAGCCCAGGCCAGCAUCAGUUUUCGCCGGGGGAUAAAGACUUCGGGAAUGUGGCUCCCCUCGGGGAGUGUUAUAGCCCGUUGUGUAAUACCCUGGUGGGGACUGAGGUUCGCGCUUCUGCAAGGAUGCUGGCGUAAUGGUCAUCAACGACCCGUCUUGAAACACGGACCAAGGAGUCGUCUUCGUAUGCGAGUGUUCGGGUGUCAAACCCCUACGCGUAAUGAAAGUGAACGCAGGUGAGAGCUUCGGCGCAUCAUCGACCGAUCCUGAUGUUCUCGGAUGGAUUUGAGUAAGAGCAUACGGGGCCGGACCCGAAAGAAGGUGAACUAUGCCUGUGUAGGGUGAAGCCAGAGGAAACUCUGGUGGAGGCUCGCAGCGGUUCUGACGUGCAAAUCGAUCGUCAAACAUGGGCAUGGGGGCGAAAGA
rnacentral:rRNA from 1 species